AGGAGGGCCUCCGGUUGCAGAAGACGAACUGCAGUCUGGACGCGAUGGGAGGGACCUGCCCCGUCAAAGUCUACGAGCGCCACUUCCCGCCUCAGCGACCAGAGCAGAUAGCAAGCCGAUACCCCUGGAAAACAACGUUAGCGAAGUGUAUAAUCCAGCGUCUUGGUAUUAUCUGCGUCCACCGCUUCGUCCAUCUAGGGGCUAAACCACGACGCAAGAAGGUGGAUGAGCUCUUACCAACCAACAACCUCACUGACGUACAACGGCUACUGACAAUUCCAGGCCUGUUGCUGUUCACCACCGUAGUAAUGAUAACAUCUUCACUAAUAAAUGCAGACUAUUUGCUACGAUAUC